rnacentral:rRNA from 1 species
CAGCCGCCGCGGGAAUACGUAGGUGGCGAGCGUUGUCCGGAAUUAUUGGGCGUAAAGGGAGCGCAGGCGGACAUAUAAGUCCAUCUUAAAAGUGCGGGGCUCAACCCCGUGAGGGGAUGGAAACUGUAUGCCUUGAGUGCAGGAGAGGAAAGCGGAAUUCCCAGUGUAGCGGUGAAAUGCGUAGAUAUUGGGAGGAACACCAGUGGCGAAGGCGGCUUUCUGGACUGUAACUGACGCUGAGGCUCGAAAGCCAGGGGAGCGAACGGGAUUAGAUACCCCAGUAGUCCCUGUCUCUUAUACC